rnacentral:lncRNA from 1 species
GCUGGGCUCCGGCCCUAGCCUUGGCUUCAGAAUGAGUCACAUCCUAUUUGUGGCCACAGAGCUCAGAUGCCAUCAAGAUUCUUUAAAAACAUUCUCAAAGGGGACUUGGCAUUUCCAACAAAGGCUGAAGAAGGUCUGUUGGGGAAAGGGUGGGACGUUCAUUCCUGGCACCGGGUCCCACUGUUGCAAAGUUCCCAGAGCCUCUGUUUACCACCUGGAAGAUCCUGAAGGUGCUGUGAGAAUGAAAUGGAGCCAAGCUGCAGAAGCCUUUUCCCGGUGCCUCAGAUGUGACACUUCAUGCCUGUCCGGUCUCCCCAGACCUGGCCAAAGUCUGCCCAGCGCCUCUCCUCUGGAAGCCUUUGAAGGCCCCUUCCUGGAAGGCUGGAUUGUGUCAGAGACCAAGAAUGGUGCGCAGCACUGGACAGUUCCUACCCAGGCAUCUAGACACAGACGUUGGACAGAGGCCACCAUGAAGUUUCCAACAGACGUGACAGGUGAACUUGCCAAAGACCAUUUGUCAGGUAAGAGGGGUCAGUAAAUGUCUCCCACUCCACACGGAAGGAAGCACUCCUCCUCAUACUUCACACACCCCAAAACCCCAUUGCUAGGUGCAGACACAGCAGUUAGACUUGAAGUUUGCAGGAGGUACCAAAGGACUUGGCCUGGAGCUUUAACUCCUGGAAAGGGCUCCUUGAGCACCCAGGAGGAGGCUGUUCGGGAGAGAGACAUUGAACACACAUGUCUCAGUUUCUCUACUCAUCUCUUCUGCUUCCAUAGUCCUAGCAGCCUUGGAGGGGUGAGGAUGGAGCCUGGUCCCUCCUCAGGGCCUUCCUAUACUUGCUGGUUUGAGGACUGAGAACUCAGGUGCCCUUGGCCCUCUUUAAAAGGGAGAUUUGACAAUCAAUGGUGCCUGGUAUUCAGCUCAGGGUACUCUGAUUUUCUGUGCUGAGACAGGAACACCACAAAUUCAAGAUCUGCUGGAGCUACAGAGUGAGGUCAAGGUCAGCCUCAGCAACUUAGAGAAACACUGUGUCAAAAUUUUAAUUUUAAUUUAAAAGGGGGAGGGGGUGGCUAGGUCUAUGGCUUCAUCCCUGUCUCUCUGGCUCCUUUCCUUGGAAGGCCACAGGCACUUACCAGGACUGUCCCUCACACAUACACUUGACCAGCCCAGCCUUCCUAUGCCUGCUGUCAGUGUCCCCUAAUGUCAUGACCUUCCAGCCUUACCAUCCUGACCCUAAACUUUUAUCCUACUCCCUCUGGGUGGUACUGCCUUCCUCAUCUGUCACCACACAAAGCAGGGGUAGAUCAGAAUGCUGGGGCUCAGCUGAGGCCACAUGCUCAGUAUCACACAGCGGUACCAAGACCAACAUGCCGAUGAGCUGUUCUGAGUCCUAAGCUGGAGAAUGAACCUAGGACCACACUUGACCUGUGCUACACUCAAGCUCCCGAACCCACCUACGACCUCUGCCUUCUGCUCUGAAUCAUAAAGUAGGCAUUGAACCCAAAACCACACUCUGUACCAGAGUGACACUCAAGCUCCUGAAUGCACCUGCCACCCCUCUCUCUAAGGUGGUGCUGUUUGACCUCAGCUAUCUCCCCCUGAGGGUGGUUCUGAAUAGAUCAACCAGCAAAGGUUGGAAGAAGCCAGCCCUUAGCACUCAGACACCCAUAUGCAGCUUUGCUCAACCCUGUUCUAUCCCAGCUGGGGCAAUUUCUGAGGGUGGCCUAGGUUGGCUCUGUCUGUGGGCUCCUGUUUAUGCCAAUCUGGUGCCUGGUGCCAGAGUGAUGUGAGGGUAGGCAGCUCCCCCCGGCAGCAGCUGCCCCUGGCAGGAAGGGCAGGGCCUGUGCCAGGCACAGAGGGUGGAUGGUCGGAGGGGUGCGGAGGCUGUGGAAACUCUGAGAGAAGCAGCUGUUGCUCCCCAGAGACAGGGAGGGAGAGGGUGGAGGCUGCUGGAGGAGGGGUUUCUUCCUGUGCUGGGUGACAUGCUCAUAUGUCUGGGGCAUGAACUGACAGCUGGAUUGUGUCCACAGCUACAGCCAGGGGCUUGAUAAUUUGAGCACGGGCCGGCAGCCUUGACUCUAAACUCCAAGGAGCUCAAUGAAUCUUUGGAGACCUCGUGUGAUUAGAGCACGGGCUGCACCUUACCAAUAUCAUGGGAAGAAGGUAGCCUCUGUUCCUGAAGCUGAGUAUGGGAUCAAGGCACACCUACAAAGUCCAUCCCACCAGAGAAGAAGGACAGACAGGCAGCCCAGGGCGCUAGCUGGUUUCCUGCCUGCAGUGAGAGUCUGGCCUGCUGAUGGGGUCACCCUGGAUUUUUUUGUUUCUACUUUUUGAGUCUCAUAUAGUCCAGGUUAGCCUCAAAGUCACUAUAUAGCUGAAGAUGACCUCACCGUCCAGUCUUCACCUCUCUAAAGCAGAGAUGCUGGGUGUGCCUCACCACAUUGGCUUUAAGUGAUGUUGGGGAUGGAUCCAGGACUUUGUUCGUGUUAGGUAAGCAUCCCACCAACCAAGCCAAAUCUCUGGUCCCUCCAUGAUUUUUAACCCUCAGAUGUUCUGGGUGGGAGUGAUCAAUCAAUGUUACCACCAAGGAAACUGAAGCUUAAAGUUGAGUCUGGCUCAAGCUGUUCCAAUUCACUGCCUAGGGGAAGAGCUGUCCUUUUUAAAAAGUGUGUGUAUGCAGGAGGAGUCUUCUAUUUUUAAAGGCAGGGUCUCACACCAUACUGCAGAGUGGCUUAAAACUCACUGUAUAGGCAGGCUGGUCCUGAACUCAUAGCAAUGCCUUAGGUGCUGGAAUUAUAGGCACGUGCCACCAGCUGAAGAGGUGUUUUGCAGAAACUGAGUGUCCCUCCCCCCGCCCCGACCCUGGAAUCUAUAUGCUGUGUCCUCAAUUCACUCCUAUGAUGGGUAGAUAUGGGACUGAGGGUAGUUUUGUUUGUUUGUUUGUUGUUUGUUUGUUUUUAAGAUUUAUUUUUUAUGUCAGGUGGUGGUGGUGACACACACCUUUAGUCCCAGCACUCAGGAGGCAGGGGCAGGCAGGUCUCUGAGUUUGAGGCUAGCCUGGUCUACAGAGUGAGUUCCAGGACAGCCAGGACUGCACAGAGAAAUCUUGUCUUGGAAAAACAAAACAAAACCAAAAAAAUCACAACAAACAAAAAAUGUUUAUUUUUAUUAUUUAUGUCUCUGUAAGUGAAUAUGUACACAUGUAUGUGGGUAUGUGCAUGUAUGUACACACAUGCGGGGGUAUGUAUAUGUGGGGGGUAUGUACAUGUGUGUGUAUGGAUGUGCACAUGUGUGUGGUAUGUGCAUGAGUGCAGAUGCCCACAGAGGGCCGUGGGAAGGUGUCAGAUCCCCUGGUACUGGAGUUGGAGGCAGUUAUGAGCCCCUCAGUAUGGGUGCUGGGAACUGAACUCAGAUGUUCUGCAGCAGCAACAUAUACUCGUAACUGCUGAGCUGUGCCUCUAGAACUGAGGGUGCUCUCUGACCUUGAACAACCUCCUGAUCAACCAGGUCCCAUUCCUGACCAGCCCCCAAGGAUGAGAUGAUUCCCAGGGCUCUCAUCCUGGGAUGAGAUGAGAUUUAUUGGCCUCUUCUUAUUGUUUAUAUAAUUCAUUAUAAAGGAGUAUCAGGGCUGGAGAGAUGGCUCAGAGGUUAAGAGCACUGACUGUUCUUCCAGAGGUCCUGAGUUCAAUUCCCAGCAACCACAUGGUGGCUCACAACCAUCCGUUAUGAGAUCUGGUGCCCUCUUCUGGUGUGCAGAUAUACAUGGAAGCAGAGUGUUGUAUACAUAAUAAAUAAAUAAAAUAUUAAAAAAAUAAAGGAGUA